rnacentral:rRNA from 1 species
UGCAAGUCGAGCGGUAAGGCCCUUCGGGGUACACGAGCGGCGAACGGGUGAGUAACACGUGAGCAACCUGCCCCUGACUCUGGGAUAAGCGGUGGAAACGCCGUCUAAUACCGGAUACGACCCGCCACCUCAUGGUGGAGGGUGGAAAGUUUUUCGGUCAGGGAUGGGCUCGCGGCCUAUCAGCUUGUUGGUGGGGUAACGGCCUACCAAGGCGAUUACGGGUAGCCGGCCUGAGAGGGCGACCGGCCACACUGGGACUGAGACACGGCCCAGACUCCUGCGGGAGGCAGCAGUGGGGAAUAUUGCGCAAUGGGCGAAAGCCUGACGCAGCGACGCCGCGUGGGGGAUGACGGCCUUCGGGUUGUAAACCUCUUUUACCACCAACGCAGGCUCGAAGUUCUCUUCGGGUUGACGGUAGGUGGGGAAUAAGGACCGGCUAACUACGUGCCAGCAGCCGCGGUAAUACGUAGGGUCCGAGCGUUGUCCGGAAUUAUUGGGCGUAAAGAGCUCGUAGGCGGCGUGUCACGUCUGCUGUGAAAGACCGGGGCUUAACUCCGGUUCUGCAGUGGAUACGGGCAUGCUAGAGGUAGGUAGGGGAGACUGGAAUUCCUGGUGUAGCGGUGAAAUGCGCAGAUAUCAGGAGGAACACCGGUGGCGAAGGCGGGUCUCUGGGCCUUACCUGACGCUGAGGAGCG